rnacentral:rRNA from 1 species
UUCCGUAGGUGAACCUGCGGAAGGAUCAUUAAUGAAUUACAAGUCGGUCAUCUGUGCUGGUGGAAACACAUGUGCACGUUGAUCGCAAAUCCACACACCUGUGAACCUUUGACUCUGAGAUUCGCUUGUGCAAACUUGCAGCUGGUCAACUUUGGUCGGCCUGGAUCUUGGAGUAUUUUUACACACUCUGAAUGUAAUGGAAUGUCUAUGUGCAUAACGCGCAAAAAAACAACUUUCAACAACGGAUCUCUUGGCUCUCGCACCGAUGAAGAACGCAGCGAAAUGCGAUAAGUAAUGUGAAUUGCAGAAUUCAGUGAAUCAUCGAAUCUUUGAACGCACCUUGCACCCUUUGGUAUUCCGAAGGGUACACCCGUUUGAGUGUCAUUGUAAUCUCACUCCUUCAACUUUGUUGUUGUUGGAUGUGGACUUGGACUCUGUCGUGUCACAACGACUGGUCUUAAAUGAAUGAGUGCACCCUGCUGUUGCAGCGUCUUCAGUGUGAUAAGCAUCUUCACUGGAACAAAGUUCCCUUUUGGGACACGCAGGCAUUGUAGGCUCUGUGCUGGCAAACCGUCCUUUUUGGACAAAUCUUUGACAAUUUGACCUCAAAUCGGGUGGGACUACCCGCUGAACUUAAGCAUAUCAAUAAGCGGAGGAAAAGAAACUAACAAGGAUUCCCCUAGUAACGGCGAGUGAAGAGGGAAAAGCUCAAAUUUUGAAUCUGGUGUCUUUGGCGCCCGAGUUGUAAUCUAGAGAAGUGUUUUCUGCCUCGGACCACACAUAAAUUCCCUGGAAUGGGGUGUCAUAGAGGGUGAGAAUCCCGUUUGUGGUGUGGACUACCUUGGCUCUGUGAUACACUCUCAACGAGUCGAGUUGUUUGGGAAUGCAGCUCAAAAUGGGUGGUAAAUUCCAUCUAAAGCUAAAUAUUGGCGAGAGACCGAUAGCGAACAAGUACCGUGAGGGAAAGAUGAAAAGCACUUUGGAAAGAGAGUGAAACAGUACGUGAAAUUGUUGAAAGGGAAGCGUUUGAAGUCAGUCRCAUUGGUCGGAACUCAGCCUGGCUUCUGCCUGGUGUAUUUUCUGGCAAAUGGGUCAGUGUCAAUUUUGAUCGAGAGAGAAAGACUUGAGGAAUGUGGCUGUCUUCGGGCAGUGUUAUAGCCUCUUGUUGUAUGUCUCGGUUGGGAUUGAGGAACGCAGCACGCCUUUUGGCCGGGGUUCGCGCCCUCGGUACGUGCUUAGGACACUGGCAUAAUGGCUUUAAGCGACCCGUCUUG